rnacentral:tRNA from 1 species
GCUUUAAUAGUUUAGAAAAAAUAUUAUAUUGUGGAUAUAAAGAGACCCGAGUUUAAGGCA